UACGUAGGGUGCGAGCGUUGUCCGGAAUUAUUGGGCGUAAAGGGCUCGUAGGCGGUUUGUCGCGUCGGGAGUGAAAUCCACUGGCUUAACUGGUGGCUUGCUUUCGGUACGGGCAGACUGGAGGUAUGCAGGGGAGAACGGAAUUCCUGGUGUAGCGGUGAAAUGCGCAGAUAUCAGGAGGAACACCGGUGGCGAAGGCGGUUCUCUGGGCAUGUCCUGACGCUGAGGAGCGAAAGUGUGGGGAGCGAACAGG
rnacentral:rRNA from 1 species